rnacentral:lncRNA from 1 species
GUGGGAGCGACCAGGAGAGGGGAAGAACCCCCCAAACCCUUAUUUCAUCUAAUUUGAUCAAUUGAAGGGUGAAUUGAGCAUAUAAUCACUACAUGAAUCAAAAACCUUGAUCACCUACACUUGUCUAACACUAGGUAAGUUGCAAUUUCAGAUUUGGUGAUGUUUGAUUUUUGGGCAACAUAAGCGAGGCGUCGGGAAGUCAAGCCGGUGCGGACGCUAGUUUGAAGGGAAAACUUU